rnacentral:rRNA from 1 species
AUGAAUGGAAUAACAAGAUUUCUUUUUUAUUUUUUUGAGAAUUUAAUAAUUUUCUUUUUUAGGAAGAAGCUAGUAUUUUUAGUGGGACAAGAAGACCCUUUUGAGCUUUAUUAUUGGGUUUUUAUUGAAAGUAGAUAAUUUGGUUGGGGCGAUCGAGGAAGGUUAAAGAUCUUCCUUUUUUAAUUUUGAUCCAAUGUUUUUGAUUAAUAGAAUAAGUUACCAAAGGGAUAACAGCGUAAUUUUUUUUGUGAGUUCUUAUUAAAAGAGAAGAUUGCGACCUCGAUGUUGACUUAUGGUUUCUAUUAGGUGUAGUGGCUUUUAUGGUAGGUCUGUUCGACCUUUAAAACCUU